AGAAAGCACCGCUAAAUACGUGCCAGCAGCCGGGGUAAAACGUAGGGGGCAGCGUUGUCCGGGAUUUAUGGGUGUAAGGGAGGGCAGGCGGACCCGCCAGUUGGAAGUGAAAACUAUGGGCUCAACCCAUAAAUUGCUUUAAAACUGCUGGCCUUGAGUAGUGCAGAGGUAGGUGGAAUUCCCGGUGUAGCGGUGGAAUGCGUAGAUAUCGGGAGGAACACCAGUGGCGAAGGCGACCUACUGGGCACCAACUGACGCUGAGGCUCGAAAGCAUGGGUAGCAAACAGGAUUAGAUACCCUGGUAGUCCAUGCCGUAAACGAUGAUUACUAGGUGUUGGAGGAUUGACCCCUUCAGUGCCGCAGUUAACACAAUAAGUAAUCCACCUGGGGAGUACGACCGCAAGGUUGAAACUCAAAGGAAUUGACGGGGGCCCGCACAAGCAGUGGAGUAUGUGGUUUAAUUCGAAGCAACGCGAAGAACCUUACCAGGUCUUGACAUCCGAUGCAUAGUGCAGAGAUGCAUGAAGUCCUUCGGGACAUCGAGACAGGUGGUGCAUGGUUGUCGUCAGCUCGUGUCGUGAGAUGUUGGGUUAAGUCCCGCAACGAGCGCAACCCUUAUUGCCAGUUACUACGUAAGAGGACUCUGGCGAGACUGCCGUUGACAAAACGGAGGAAGGUGGGGAUGACGUCAAAUCAUCAUGCCCUUUAUGACCUGGGCUACACACGUACUACAAUGGCGUUUAACAAAGAGAAGCAAGACCGCGAGGUGGAGCAAAACUCAAAAACAACGUCUCAGUUCAGAUUGCAGGCUGCAACUCGCCUGCAUGAAGUCGGAAUUGCUAGUAAUCGCGGAUCAGCAUGCCGCGGUGAAUACGUUCCCGGGCCUUGUACACACCGCCCGUCACACCAUGAGAGCCGGGGGGACCCGAAGUCGGUAGUCUAACCGCAAGGAGGACGCCGCCGAAGGUAAAACUGGUGAUUGGGGUGAAGUCGUAACAAGGUAGCCGU
rnacentral:rRNA from 1 species